rnacentral:lncRNA from 1 species
UUAUGAAUAUAAUGCAAGGAGCUUUAGGACUACAACUUCCAAUUUCUUUUACGCCUCCAACUGUAUACACUUGGAGAUUCUCAUGUUCAUCAACAUUCAAAUCAUUGUGUCCAGAUGAUAUGCCUAUGGUGAAGUAAUCUGGGAGGCAAUCGGCUGUGUCAGGCAUAUAGGAGUUUGCCGAACAGUGGAAUCUGCUCAUUUGAAG